AGACCAGUUGCCAGGCAACCGGUGGAGACUCCAAGAAGUUACUGGUCCUGGCCAAGCAAUAGUAACGGCAAAUUAUCUUUUUAGCCAGCUGUGAGCAGACACGAGUGGUACCUUCUCAUCUAACUUCCUGCAAGAAAGUGAACAAGGAGGCAGGGUACUUUCCUGAGCUGGGGAGGAGGAUUAGCGUUGCAUGGCCUCCAUCCCCAGCUGCACACAUGACCAGCACCGUAGGAAAGCCCCAGAAGAUGGCCCAAGAAGAGCAGGGAUUUGAAUCCCGGUUUUCGCAUGGAGGGCGGCGAUCCACCGCUACACUGUCCAGCAACAGUUGACGUUCUGCCAUUACACAAUAAAUUCAAUUCAAGUCAGAAUAAAACGCAAUAAAUCUCAGUUUAAUCCAGAGUAGCUCAUGUGAAAGUGAGUGUUUUCCCCCCCAGUGUGUGAUAUAUGGAGGACCACAGAUGUCAUAUGAAUGCUUAUAAAUCAUUUUAUUCAUCAAUG
rnacentral:lncRNA from 1 species